GAUGAACGCUGGCGGCGUGCCUAAUACAUGCAAGUCGAGCGAACGGACGAGACGCUUGCUUUUCUGAUGUUAGCGGCGGACGGGUGAGUAACACGUGGAUAACCUACCUAUAAGACUGGGAUAACUUCGGGAAACCGGAGCUAAUACCGGAUAAUAUUUUGAACCGCAUGGUUCAAAAGUGAAAGACGGUCUUGCUGUCACUUAUAGAUGGAUCCGCGCUGCAUUAGCUAGUUGGUAAGGUAACGGCUUACCAAGGCAACGAUGCAUAGCCGACCUGAGAGGGUGAUCGGCGACACUGGAACUGAGACACGGUCCAGACUCCUACGGGAGGCAGCAGUAGGGAAUCUGACGCAAUGGGCGAAAGCCUGACGGAGCAACGCCGCGUGAGUGAUGAAGGUCUUCGGAUCGUAAAACUCUGUUAUUAGGGAAGAACAUAUGUGUAAGUAACUGUGCACAUCUUGACGGUACCUAAUCAGAAAGCCACGGCUAACUACGUG
rnacentral:rRNA from 1 species